rnacentral:rRNA from 1 species
GGCUCAGAGCGAACGCGGGCGGCAUGCUUAACACAUGCAAGUCGCACGGGCAGGGGUAACUCUGUCAGUGGCGGACGGGUGAGUAACGCGUAGGUAUCUGUCCUGAGGUGGGGGAUAACUGUGGGAAACUACAGCUAAUACCGCAUGAUGACUGAGGUCUAAAGGCGCAAGUCGCCUUGGGAGGAGCCUGCGUUCGAUUAGCUAGUUGGUGGGGUAAUUGCCUACCAAGGCGACGAUCGAUAGCUGGUCUGAGAGGAUGAUCAGCCACACUGGGACUGAGACACGGCCCAGACUCCUACGGGAGGCAGCAGUGGGGAAUAUUGGACAAUGGGCGCAAGCCUGAUCCAGCAAUGCCGCGUGAGUGAAGAAGGUCUUCGGAUUGUAAAGCUCUUUCGACGGGGACGAUGAUGACGGUACCCGUAGAAGAAGCCCCGGCUAACUUCGUGCCAGCAGCCGCGGUAAUACGAAGGGGGCUAGCGUUGCUCGGAAUGACUGGGCGUAAAGGGCGCGUAGGCGGCUGUGACCGUCAGAUGUGAAAUUCCCGGGCUUAACCUGGGGGCUGCAUUUGAUACGUCAUGGCUUGAGUGAGGAAGAGGGUUGUGGAAUUCCCAGUGUAGAGGUGAAAUUCGUAGAUAUUGGGAAGAACACCGGUGGCGAAGGCGGCAACCUGGUCCUUUACUGACGCUGAGGCGCGAAAGCGUGGGGAGCAAACAGGAUUAGAUACCCUGGUAGUCCACGCCGUAAACGAUGUGUGCUGGAUGUUGGGCGGCCUAGCCGUUCAGUGUCGUAGCUAACGCGAUAAGCACACCGCCUGGGGAGUACGGCCCGCAGGUUGAAACUC